CGCUUGCAAACGUUAAGAUGUACAGGUUUAUCUUGUUCUCCUGUUGUGUCGUGUUGUGUGCUGGUUAUAACGAAGGUUGUGGACCAAAUGAAGAACUGCGUUGUGUACAACCGUGCCCCCCUGAAAAGACUUGCAGAAACCGCGACAUACAAUAUUAUUGCAUUCUAAGUAUUCAACCGUGCACAUUCAAAUGUGUAUGUAAAGCGGGAUACAUAAGGAAUGCUGCAGGCGAAUGUGUUACUGUUGAUAAAUGUGAAAAACUUUGCGAGAAAAACGAAAUAUUCACCGACUGCAAGAGGUCCUGUCCACCGGAUACCUGUCUUUCUCUUGUAGCGAGGUUCAAAUGUGACCCCAAUGAGCGUUGUUCCGAAGGCUGUGUGUGCAGACCUGGUUACUUAAGGAAAAAACCCAACUCUCCUUGUGUACCAAUAUGCGAUUGUGAUGAAAUGAAGUACUCGGAAGAUUGUAAGCCGAUAACGAUUCGAAAUCUGGUCUAGAAUGGAAUUUUGCGACAAAUGAUGGCUGUGCUUUUGAAAGUUGGACUGAAAUAUCUUAAGUUAAAUAAAUUAUUGUCUUAAAUAAAACGAUGUAUUCUAUUUA